GUUGCCGUGGCCCACUGGUUAGCACGCUGGACUUGUAACCGGAGGGUUGCCGGUUCGAGCCUGACCAGUUACG
rnacentral:tRNA from 1 species